GGACCCGCACAAGUAGUGGAGCAUGUGGUUUAAUUCGAAGAUACGCGCAGAACCUUACCAACACUUGACAUGUUCGUCGCGACUCUAAGAGAUUAGAGUUUUCGGUUCGGCCGGACGAAACACAGGUGCUGCAUGGCUGUCGUCAGCUCGUGUCGUGAGAUGUUGGGUUAAGUCCCGCAACGAGCGCAACCCACAUCCCUAGUUGCCAGCAGUUCGGCUGGGCACUCUAUGGAAACUGCCCGUGAUAAGCGGGAGGAAGGUGUGGAUGACGUCAAGUCCUCAUGGCCCUUACGGGUUGGGCUACACACGUGCUACAAUGGUAGUGACAAUGGGUUAAUCCCAAAAAGCUAUCUCAGUUCGGAUUGUCGUCUGCAACUCGACUUCAUG
rnacentral:rRNA from 1 species